rnacentral:rRNA from 1 species
UACGGAGGUGGCAAGCGUUGCUCGGAAUCACUGGGCGUAAAGGGCGCGUAGGCGGGGAGGUAAGUCGGGUGUGAAAUCCCUCGGCCCAACUGAGGAACUGCGCCCGAGACUGCUUCUCUUGAGUCCCGGAGAGGAAGAUGGAAUUCCCGGUGUAGCGGUGAAAUGCGUAGAUAUCUGGAGGAACACCGGUGGCGAAGGCGGCAUCCUGGACCAACACUGACGCUGAGUGAGCGAAAGCCAGGGGAGCAAACGGG